GUGAUUCUGUAUUCAUUAGGCAGUGUAUGUGUUCUUAUAUGUGUUGUACGUAAUAUACAGUACACAUAACAACAUACUUCACAGAUGUCCUGAUGUUGGCUGGCUGGCUUACGUCCCAGGUCCCCGUCGAGGCCAUAUGAGCACCUGACUCCCUUCUCUGCGGCAGCUUGGACCCGUCUCCCAGCCUUUUCCUCCCGCAGCCUGAGUGGAGACGCUCCCUGAGGUCUGACCGCAGCGUUUCACCUUCUCUCCCUGAGCAGCUCAGUGGAGCCGAUGGCUUCUGCAGUCGAUCGACCACCUUCAUAGUGGAUGCAGCGUCUGGAGGCCCCUCCAACGCGAAGGCAGGCAGGCAGAGGACGACAAAUCCGGUAGGCCGUCACUUCUGUGUGGGGUCUGGAAAACACAACAAACUAGUGAGUGUAACAGAACAGAAACAGAGUUACAGGGAACAGACUAGUGGUGACCAGAGGGGACAGGGCAGGGGGAGGGGCAAGACGAGGAGGGGAGUCAGAGGGACAAAGUACUUUGUACAAAACAGACAAGCUACAAGGAUACAUUGUACAACCCGGGGAAGAAAGCCCAUGUUUUUUAAUAACUGUAAAUGGAUGAUAACCUUUAAAACUUGUGACUCACUACUGUGCACCUAUAACUUACAUAAUAGUGUCCAUCAAGUACACUUAAAUUUUUUUAUUAAAGACAAGA